rnacentral:rRNA from 1 species
GUUGUAUGGUUAAGUGACUAAGCGUACACGGUGGAUGCCUUGGCAGUCAGAGGCGAUGAAGGACGUAGUAACUUGCGAUAAGCCCAGAUUAGGUAGUAACAACCAUUUGAGUCUGGGAUUUCCGAAUGGGGAAACCCACUUACAUAAGUAAGUAUCCUUACCUGAAUACAUAGGGUAA